CGCUUUUCUUACUGCAACUCUAGCAAUAGAUGAGCACUUUACUCUUAUAUAUCAUCCUUCAACCUGUGUGCCAAUUGCACUUGAAUCAGGUCAAUGACCUUUCCAAAGAAGCAGAUGGUACAGCAAAACCCAGUGGAAACAAAGGGCGUUCAAGGAACGUGCCUGUCCAUUUAUUAACAUACAUCACAUGAAAACAUUUCUUCAGUAUCUGAUCAGUAAAUCAUUUGUUUCUGCUGGGCUGGAUAGAAACGCCUAUUGUUUUAUCAACAACUUCAAUGAAUAUUAUGCCAGGCCAUCCUAGCAGUGUUAUAGAGCAGUAGCUAGGUGUAUUUCUGAGCAGCUACUGCAAUUUCAGAUAAUGAAGAACAGCAACCAAAAAACACCAGGAAUCAACCAACACUUGACACUAUAAAAUUGUCCCAAGUUUCCAUAUUCUCCUGAUUCCCCCGGCCAUAGUUAACUAUUAAUUCCCUUGAAAUAUGGCUAUUAAUUCCCUUAAAAUAUGCUUUGAGGCACACAUUGAAGUAGACUCAAUCAGAACGUUUGUAUUCAACCACAGCAUCAUAUGUUUCAAUUGUAAGUGAAGAUCCUGCAAAACAUCUUAAUUCAUACCAAAACAUGUUGGUCCAGUUAUGCAAAAAAGUUUGCAAAGGUGCAAGAAAGUUUUCUUCAACACCAAGUUGUCCUUGAACAUCAAACUUUCUUUCAAGCCUUGCAAUGAAAAGUGAGGAGACCACAUGAACAAUAACAGAUGGAUCUGGGUCCUCCAGGAUUGCCUGCAGCUCCCUUCGAAUCCAUGGCUCUAUUCUCUGACGUAAUUUUUCUUUCAUAUGGCCAUCUCUUGACACAUUCUACAAGUUCAAAAAGCGGACAAUUAUAUCAAACUAAAAUUGACCCUUUUCUACUAAAUUUAGAUGCAAAUUAAUCUGUAUAACAAACACUAGGAGUAAACAGCAUACCUCUAGACAUGAUUUGAACAUAAUAUGACCAGACUUUUACACACAUAAAGAAAUGCAUCAAAGCUUUUUCCAUAUAAGGGAAAAGAAUUCCAGAGAAUAGUAUUACAAUAUUUUAGACAGAAGAACAAUUUAUAAACAACACACAAUUGUGAACAUGCACAAAACAAUUGAAUUCAUUAACGUUAAAGAAGAAAGUUUCAAUACUGUAUAAACACAAGAAAUCAGUUAAGGAUUUUGAUGCACAUGAUGAGGUGAUGCGCACACCUGCUCGAGACAAUUCCCAGGAGAUAUAGGAACAGCUUGCAAGCCUCUCUUGUACACACUGCAAAACAAAGAAAACCAAUCAUUUUAGCUUCCACCAUAUCAGCAUCAGAAUUCACAAAAUUUUUCCAUACCUGGCACGCCACUGAAGCUUCCUUUCGGCAAUAACGUGAGAAGGCACAGAACCUGGCCGACCAAACGUGCGCCGCCACGGCAAUGGCUUACUUCUUCGUGUCAUCCGUUGCCGAACCCUGGAACUGAAUUCAGGUUCCGCAAUGACGCUUUUACCCUCCCCAAGAGCCGGUAAUUUCUCGGUUAGGAAGUUACGAGAGGAGAGACUGAUCUUGUAGAAUAAGGAAUCGAAAGACGAGUUGCAGAGAGGACACUUGCGCUUCAAAUCGCUCCACUUGCGAAUGCAGUUUAAACAGUACGCGUGCAGGCAAACAGUGAUAACAGCAGCUCUGCGAUGAUCUUCGAGAUCUUUCAAACAUAUUGGACAGGUUUUCCCUCGUAUCGACGGAGAAAUUACUCUCAGGAGAAACUUCUCGCGAUUGAGGUCGUGUUUUCGUGAACUCCGUGAAGAAGAGGGAUAAGAAGACGUAUCCAUUACUAGACAGAAAGAGAGAGAAACGGUAUGGUGUUAAUCGGCGCGCCGUUGAACGCGGUCAACGUCUGCCGUUUUGGGCUCUCUUUGCUUUUAUAGUUGACUGCUGCUUCCGACUCCGGGGAAAAAUGUAUUUUUUUUGAUGUUGCCUCGCGUAUACGACAAAAUUUGUGUCUUCAGGCGGCAAUAAAACGACAUGUCGUUGAAAAAUCAAAUUGAGCACAAAGAGGGAGAGACGCAGAAAGAUAGUGAUUUUAAACCGCCGGAAAUCAUACUGGAGUAUACAAUUUGAAAUUCCGUCAUCAGUUCUCUGCAAAAAUGGAAAUUCCCAAGGAUCAAAUCGCCACUCUUCUCGAUAGCGACCUCUAUAGCUCGGCUCAAAUACUUGGUUCUUUCCUCGUUUCAUCGUCUUCCAUUAAUCCUGAAACCACCCCUCACCUCAAGGCCGAAAAUCUGAUUUUUCUUGGAGACGCAUUGUUGCGCGAGAGGGAGUAUCGCAGAGCGAUCCAUACGUACAAGCAGGCUUUGCAGUACUAUAAGAUAAUUCCCAAGCAAAAUUCAACAGCUUCUAGGAGUUCAUUAUCCAACAGGUCUUCUUCUCCGAAUUCUUUUAACAUUUCGGCAAUUAAUGAAAAUGAGGUGAAAUUCAAGAUUGCUUCUUGUCAUUCUGCGCUGAAUGAAACUAGAGCGGCACUUGUUGAGAUGGAGGGAAUUCCUAGCAAAGCAAGAACUUUGCAGAUGAGUCUAUUAAUGGCCAAGCUUUAUCGAAAUUCUAGACAUAAUCGCUUUGCUAUUGCUUGUUAUAAAGAGUGUUUAAGGCAUUGCCCUUAUGUCUUUGAGGCCAUUAUAGCGUUAGCUGAACUGGGAGUUGCUGCCAAGGAUAUCAUUUCAACUUUUUCACAGGGUUCUAGUAGAAGUAGUAGGGCACCAUUUGAUCAUGUCGACUCAAAUCGUUGGCUUCAACGCUAUGUGGAGGCACAGUGUUGCGUUGCUUCAAAUGAUUACAGAGGUGGUUUGGAACUCUUUGGAGAACUCCUACAACGUUUCCCGAAUAAUGUACAUAUAUUACUUGAAAUCGCAAAGGUUGAAGCCAUUAUUGGAAAGAACGAUGAGGCCAUAGUGAAUUUUGAAAAGGUUCGAUCACUUGAUCCAUAUGUUGUAACUUAUAUGGAUGAGCAUGCAAUGCUUCUAAAGACAAAGUCUGAUUACUCAAAGCUAAAUAAGUUAGUGCAUGAUUUGCUGAGUAUUGAUCCUACAAGGCCGGAAGUUUUUGUGGCUUUGUCUGUCCUGUGGGAAAGGAAAGAUGAAAGAGGAGCAUUGUCUUAUGCUGAGAAGGUUAGCUUGUUAUUUAUAGUGGCACAGAUUUUGUUAUUUUGAAUCUGUAUAAUCUGACGAGUCCACUGUUUUGCAAUUAGAGUAUCCGAAUUGAUGAGAGGCACAUUCCAGGUUACAUAAUGAAGGUACAGAAAUGAUACAUCUCUGUUAGAAUGAAGAUUAUUUUGGACCUUUCUACCGAGUAAAAUUUAGGAAAUGGAUCCAUAGCACUUACCCCAACUAGAUUGGGAUUAAGGCUUUGCAUAGUUGAGUUAUCUUGGAUCUCAAUGAACAUAAGAAUCCUUUAUAUGCAUUCAGGGUAAUCUACUCUUGUCAUUGAAGCGACCAGAAGCAGCUGUAAUUGCUUUCAGGGGAGCUCAAGAAUUGAGACCCGAUCUUCGUUCAUAUCAAGGUGCAAUCUAUAAAGAUGCUAAUUUAGAUCAAAAUUUCAGUAGUUUAGUUCCUUAACAUUCAAGUUACUUAUAUUAUUAGCAUACAUCUUUAAUAGAACUCUACCAUAAUGAAUGUAAUGGUAUUAAGGAAAACAAGCCUUGAAAUAAGUGGGCUGGAUCACAAUCUCAGGUUUGGUUCAUUCUUAUUUGGCAUUCUCCAAAAUCAAAGAGGCUCUGCAUGCUGCCAGGGAGGCAAUGAAGGCCAUGCCUCAAUCUGCAAAGGCUCUAAAAUUAGUUGGUGAUGUACAUGCUAGUAACUCUGGUGGCAGAGAGAAGGUAAACCUGUGACAGGUCAUUUUGGCAUAUUUUCUCCUUACUCUUUUCCUGGUAAGGCCAUCUUGUAUCAGUUCACAUGGGAGUGAUAAUCUCAUAUUUGUGUUUUAUGAAGUCAAUAUUAACCUCAACUGGUAACAGGCCAAAAAGUUUUAUGAGUCAGCACUGCGGCUGGAACCUGGUUACCUUGGUGCUGCAUUAGCUUUGGCUGAGCUUCAUGUUAUUGAGGGCCGAAAUGGAGAUGCUGUGUCCCUACUUGAGCGAUAUCUCAAGGAUUGGGCUGAUGACUCUCUUCAUGUCAAGCUGGCUCAAGUAUUUGCUGCCACAAAUAUGCUGCAAGAGGCUUUGUCACAUUAUCAGGCUGCAUUAAGAAUAAACCCACAGAAUGAAGCUGCAAAGAAAGGGCUUGAGCGUUUGGAAAAACAAAUGAAGGUUUGCUUUUUGCUUGUAUACUUCACAUUUAGUUUUCAAUUUCCAUUUUUGCAGUGUUUAUAAAAUACAACAGGUACCUGGACUUUGGUGAUCAAUGAAUAUUUAUCUAAUGUGAAGGAGUAGUUGAAAAUUUGGCAGGUUGAUUUUUUUUUGAAACAUAAAAUCUACUUUAGAAUUUUAUUUCGGGUGUGGGAGUUCAGGUGUCUAGAAUGAUACAGGGCAAAUCUUGGUAUUUUGGGAUUUAAUUGAUAACUAAAUGUAGGGGGUGGAUCCGGAUGCACCUGAAGAAGAUGAAGAAAAUGAGGUGGAGGAUGCGGAUGCAGACCAAGAAGAGACUGAGCUUUUGUGAGGGUGUGGCCAAACAA
rnacentral:misc_RNA from 1 species